UACGAAGGGGGCUAGCGUUGCUCGGAAUUACUGGGCGUAAAGGGCGCGUAGGCGGGUCGUUAAGUUAGAGGUGAAAGCCCAGGGCUCAACCCCUGGAAUUGCCUUUAAUACUGGCGGCCUUGAGUAUGGCAGAGGUGUGUGGAACUCCGAGUGUAGAGGUGAAAUUCGUAGAUAUUCGGAAGAACACCAGUGGCGAAGGCGACACACUGGGCCAUUACUGACGCUGAGGCGCGAAAGCUAGGGGAGCAAA
rnacentral:rRNA from 1 species